UACGUAGGGUGCGAGCGUUAAUCGGAAUUACUGGGCGUAAAGCGCACGUAGGCGGUCAGGCAAGUCGGGUGUGAAAGCCCUGGGCUCAACCUGGGAAUUGCAUUCGAAACUAUCUGACUCGAGUAUGGGAGAGGGAAGCGGAAUUUCCGGUGUAGCGGUGAAAUGCGUAGAUAUCGGAAGGAACACCAGUGGCGAAGGCGGCUUCCUGGACUAAUACUGACGCUGAGGUGC
rnacentral:rRNA from 1 species